rnacentral:rRNA from 1 species
CAGGCCUAACACAUGCAAGUCGAACGGGAAAGUGGAGCAAUCCAUGAGUAUAGUGGCGACCGGGUGAGUAACACGUGACUACCUGCCCUUGAGUGGGGGAUAACCUCGGGAAACCGAGGCUAAUACCGCAUAACAUCCGUGGGUGAAAUUCCUGGGGAUCAAAGGAGCAAUUCGCUGGAGGAGGGGGUCGCGGCUGAUUAGCUAGUUGGCGGGGUAAUGGCCCACCAAGGCUANGAUCGGUAUCCGGCCUGAGAGGGCGCACGGACACACUGGAACUGAAACACGGUCCAGACUCCUACGGGAGGCAGCAGUGGGGAAUUUUGCGCAAUGGGGGAAACCCUGACGCAGCAACGCCGCGUGGAGGAUGAAGCCCCUUGGGGCGUAAACUCCUUUCGACCAAGACGAUAAUGACGGUACUGGUGGAAGAAGCACCGGCUAACUCUGUGCCAGCAGCCGCGGUAAUACA